rfam:Ornithorhynchus anatinus chromosome 4, whole genome shotgun sequence.
AGCCUCUCAGGGUCACACCUGGAGGGUUUCUAGUACUCUACCAGUCUUGGCUAUGGGAGGGAAAGUCAAGCAGAGGCCUGCCCAUUCCAUUCCUAGCUUGGCCAGUGGCUAACGAGUGGAAGAUGAUCUGCUACAAGU